rnacentral:ncRNA from 1 species
UAGGCUGAUAGCAAGGUGCCCGACGCUCAGGCUGCCCACGAAAAAACAAUCACGGGCUUGCUUCCGGCCCUGGCCGGAGCGAACUUGAUCUAUGGUC